AUGAAAAUCAGUCGAUGGAAAGAAAAAUUAUUAUCAAGUGGAGGGUAAGAAGUUCUCCUCAAGUAUGUUGUACAGUCUAUCCCCACUUAUGCUAUGUCCGUCUUUAGAAUUCCUAACCAAACAUGCAAAUGAAUCACUGACACAAUGUCGCGUUUUUGGUGGGGUGAUGAGGACAAUCGAAAGAAGAUGCAUUGGAUGGCCCGGUGGAAAGUGUGUAAAAAAAAUCAUGGAGGAAUAGGUUUUCAUGGCAUCCAUUGUUUCAAUUUGGCGUUUUUGGCUAUAACCAAGUACUUCCCAGAUGGUUAUUUGGUGAAUGUCAUUUAA
rnacentral:rRNA from 1 species